rnacentral:tRNA from 1 species
UGUGUGUAGCUCAUUGGUAGCGUGCUUGCCUAGCAUGCAUGAGGCCCUGGAUUCAAUCCCCAGCACUGUAA